CUUAAUUAUACAUCUUCUUUGUGUUGGAACUUAUAGGAAAGAUCUCCCUGGAGCCCGGGCCAUUAUUGCCACACACUAUUUUUCCAGAACAGUAGAGUUUCAUAUUUUCGGACUACGUUUCUGAAGACAUUGGAUGGACUAGAUGAUAAUCCAUCAUGAGGAUUAUUCAUCAUUUCAUGCCAUCUUCAUGAUAUUCUUUGGAAAGAUGAAUUUUGGCAAGGAUCAAAAAUCACUUUGCAAAAUAAGGUAAGUUUUAUGAUUAUAUUUGCAUUUUUGCCUCAAAUAAAUUACUAGUGAACUUACUUUUUUUUAUUUAUAUCAUGAUUUAUCUUAUUCAAUUUUAAUGAUAUUUUUUGUUGACGAUUCAACAAGCCGUGGGUGAUUGGUAUUUCGAAAGAAGCAGUGUUCAACUCAUAGACAGUGAACAUACCUAUCCUAUUGACUGCAUGUAAUAGUUUGAACCCAUUAAUUUAUCCAAAUAUAUUCAUUGUAUGCAAAUAAAUCUCACUUUGUUUUUGUGCAAA